AGAAUUGCAGGAUGGAUGGAGAAACAACUUUCCCUUGGAGGGAAAGAAGUUUUACUAAAAGCAGUAGCACAAGCAAUCCCAGUAUUUGCAAUGUCAGUGUUCUUGAUCCCAAAGGGUGUGUGUAAAAACAUUAUGGAAAAUAUUGCAAGCUUCUGGUGGGGAGAGAAUGAAGAAAGGAAGAAGAUGCAUUGGUUCGCUUGGUGGAAAUUGUGUGUGCCGAAAACAUUGGGAGGUAUGGGCUUCCGUGAUCUUCACUCAUUUAAUUUAGCCAUGCUAGCUAAACAAUGUUGGAGGCUUGUCACAUGUCCAGAUUCUCUAUGUGCCAAAGUGAUGCGAGCCAAGUAUUACGUGGAUGAUAAUUUACUCCAGGCAGGACCUAAAAGGGGGUCUUCAUUCACUUGGCAAAGUAUCAUGUCCAGAAUCCAAAUAUUCAAACGAGGCUACGUAUGGAGGAUUGGUGAUGGAAUGGAUGUGAAUACAUGGUCAGACCCUUGGGUCCCUGGGAGUCCAGAUAGGAGAGUGGUUACACAAAGAGGUCAAGUUGUCUUAACAAAAGUUAACGAACUCAUAGAUCCAAUGACUGGACAGUGGGAUGAAAUACUAAUCAGAUAA
rnacentral:rRNA from 1 species